UGCAAGCUCACAACCUGUCUUCUGAAGCAAAAUAAUUUUUGUUGCAAGUUGUAGAUCUUCAAGAUAUUUAUGCCUUCGCCAGAUCCAAUUCUUUGCUGCUAUCUAUUUUGGGGACAACAGCGAGAAAAUGCUGCUACUCAAGAUUAUGUGGUGUAAUUUAGGACAAUGUAAGAUUGAUAGAUUUGAGGUUAAUCCCUCUCCACUGUUCUAGUUGCUUGGAAACCGACGAGAGAUUGCUGGAAUUGAAGACUGAUCAUUUGUGUAGAUGUAGAUAACUUACAAGUGCAUAAUCUGGGCUCCCUUCUUUUCUGUGGCCCUGUUUCCCUAACUAACCACUAACCAACGCCCGCCGGUGGUCACUCACUCGCUGUGUCAACCAGGAGGAGGGGAGGGCUCUGGUCGAACGGGGACUUGGAAGGCGCAUGAUCCGAUGAAAACUUUUGGAGGGUCAUGAGUCUAACCCGGAAGCCUAGUAUGACUAUAUCUCCCCAGUAAAACUGGCCUCGUACUUCUCUCUUCUUCUCGGUCCAGAUACUAUCUCUGGGGGCCGUAGACAAUUCCAAUUGCAUGUGCGAGUUUUAACAAAGCAGGCCAUGCGCUACCCAAUGAGACAAAAAGCGAUGUUUAAUUUUUGUGGAAUUAGAAAUUUUUAAAAUUGGUUCUGGAAUAAGUAAAAUUUUUAACUUAUUUACUGACAUCAGCUAAAAUAAAAUAUUGCUUUUUGUGUCAUUGGGUAGCGAGUUGCUUGCUCAAACUCGCACAAAAAUAGACAGAAUUAUAUAUUAUAUGUUUUUGAAACAAUUUAGAUUUUAUUGACUAUUAAAUUCAUAUUGCACAUUA